rnacentral:tRNA from 1 species
GUGUCUGUAAGCGAUAGGCCUUCACUUCCAUGGCAUGGAAGAGGUCGUGAGUUCGAAUCUCACCAGUUCCACCA